rnacentral:lncRNA from 1 species
UCCUCUCAACCCUUCUUUGCUGAGAAAUACACCUCUGGUGAGUUUCUCUAAGUCAAAGAGUAUGGUCCCUUCCUUCUCUUCUCGACAGCGUUCUGCCACUUGUCAAGCGUAGGUCACAAACAGAACAUGGUCAAAAAAGACACUUCUUGAACUUCAAAGUGACCUCUAUCUUUCCAUCUUUUCUCUUUUGUUGAGGUAUCCAAAUGUUUCUUUCUGCCUCCUUGUCUAGGAGAUGCUCAGCACCUUGUAAAAAGAAAAUUCUACUUUUCACCUAGCUGUUACAUGGCCCCAACUAUUCCAAGGUAACACCUAGUUAAUUCACAUACUUCUGUGUAUAUUCCUCAGAGGUCCCUCUUUUCAGUUUUAAUGUGUUGGCUUAAAGAAAAGAGGUCUGGUUUCCCUUUUUAUAGCAGUUUAAGUCUCUCCCCAGUUGCCAAAUAGGUAUUUAUGGACCGACUCCCAGGUCCUCCAGGACCUUCCCAAAUCAACACAGCUUGGGGUCUCGUGCUCGGUGGAGAACCACGUGCCCAGUGUGCCCUGUUGGGGGUCACCAGCCUCCUGAACCCAGCCUGGCACAGAGCAGCACUGAUCUGGGUGAGCCUUCUAGACUUCUAGGCCAGUGGUUUUACCUGGAAGUUGCUGCCCUAACCUGUACUUUUCCAUUUGCACAGACUGGAGAAUAAAAUUUGGCUUUUGCAAUGAUAAUGGAAGGCCCUGGGGGAGAAGGAAAUUGGCAGGUAUUAACUAACAAUUGGAUGUUUUCAUUUUGCUUUGAUUUUCAUCGGUAUGCUAAAAGACUAACUGAAACAUGUUCAUGUCUUAUAUGGGAAAUAAUAAUUAUGGUAAUAAUAAUUGUUGUAAGUAUGAGCACUUUAUUGUUGAAGAGGGCAAGCUUAUGCAAUUAUCACAAAAAACUCGAAUGCUUUUCUAGGUCCUGUGGGAUUAAUUGGGGAUUUCAGUCCAGUUUCAAUUGGGGAAAUUUCCACAUCACAAAAUCCUUUGCUAUAAUGGACACUAAUUGGCCUCCUUUUUGACAGUCCCAGAAGAGAAAACCCUGUGCCCCAAAAUUGAGUGAUUUGGUAGAGUUGAGAGAAUAGAUAGGAAAUCAUGGGGUUACAACCCAAGAUUUGUUUUCUACUGGGGAUAAAGAGAGUAUAUCAGGCUGCAGGCUUUGAAGGUUACAGAUAACUCAGAAAUAGCACAAGGCCUUCGGUAUCACAAGGAAUUUAAAAUGUG